ensembl:lncRNA
UCCUCAUUCAGCAUUGCACUUUUUCCAUAAAGUGUCUUGUUUCAUUAAAAGGUCCUGAUGAUCACUUUCAAAUUCUAGGAUGCAUAUUUGUCACUGAGCUCUGUACUGGGUAGUGAAAGCCUUCUACACUGCUGUGUGUUCUACUGGUAUGUUGUCACAGGUCCACUGAUAGAAGUUCCAGAGUUCUGUGGGAGACGUGAGUCCCAGCCUGCACCUUCCUUCCAGGCCCUUGGCCUCCUUCUCCUCCAACGUAAUGUGUUUGAAAAGAAGAAAUUUAACACUUGGGGCAAAUCAUCAUCGACUGUCAUGAUUCGUUUUCUGUGUAUCAGACGGUCAGGUAGGCAUCUUUUACGACACAAUCGCCUUACGCCAGUUAAUUAUGCGGCAUAAUUAUUGCUGCAAAGACUUGACGGCAAAAAACGCCGGAGGCGGCCACAGCCGGGGGCCUUUCCCGUGAAGGUACCGGCAAUUUCCAAAUGCUGGCAGUGCCCGAGGCUUUAGAAGAAGGACUAUUCAAAGCCUUAAAUUUCUACUCUCUGCCCACCUUCAUCCCGUCGGAAGAAGCGAUGCCACAGGGUUUUAAGAGCUCAUAUUCUGGGCAUUUUCAACCAACGAAGGGCUGGGGUCGCAUCACUCGACUGCUCACUCUUGGAAGUAAUGGAGACUCUCUGAGGCUCGGCUCUUCAGCUGUGCUGCAUUCUUCCCAAAUCAUAACGGGCUGCCUCUCCGUGAAGCAUUCCCCCGGAGCAACGAAGCCCUCAGGCACCAGGUGGAGGGUGUUCAUGACGUGGCCAAAACUCACGGGAGCAGUUACGUUGCGUGUGUUCUUGGAUGGAAUCUGUGCUCUCUGUGGGAGAGGCUGAGCCGGCAGCUUCCCGCCACCACCUGCAGACGUAAAUCUGGAUUCAGAGCCUGCACUGAUUCAUUGCUUGGGGAGCCAAGGGGUGACACAUACAUAUUUUGAAUGUGACCCUGGGUGUAGAUCUGCAUAGCGCUUGACUGAAAGCACUUCUCCUUCUUGAGGUGUUCACACGUGGCUGCUUUCAGUGGAACUUUUACUUAAAAAAAAGACAAUCUUCAAUACAAUUCUUUCAUUUGCAAGUUGAACUUUCUGAAAAAUUAUACAGUGAACCCUAGUAUGUUUUGUUUUUAUUUUCUUACUGUGGUUCCUCCAGCAUCCUGGCCCCUCAGAGAACAAACCCCUUUCUCUUUAAUGAAAACACACAAUGACAACCACUCGGUACCAUGGAAAUUAAGCUCUUCGGUCUGACCAUCUUCUGUAGCAGGCAUCAGAGAAGCAGGAUGUCUUCCUGAACUGAAAUGUUGGCUCAAGAAUUCCCAUAAACUGCCUUACACUUCAUGUUAAGAAAAACUCCCUGACACUGAGCAUACUCUCCCUUGCUGCCAGGCGUCUUUCUGUUUAUGUAGACUUUGUUUACACGUGCCCCCUGUUAAUAAAAAUCUAUAUUUAACAGAUGCACU